AACGAACGCUGGCGGCGGGCCUAACACAUGCAAGUCGAACGAUAAGCCACCUUCGGGUGGUGGACAGUGGCAGACGGGUGAGUAACGCGUGGGAACGUGCCUUUCGGUUCGGGAUAACCCAGGGAAACUUGGGCUAAUACCGGAUACGCCCUUCGGGGGAAAGAUUCAUUGCCGAAAGAUCGGCCCGCGUCGGAUUAGCUAGUUGGUGGGGUAAUGGCCGACCAAGGCGACGAUCCGUAGCUGGUCUGAGAGGAUGACCAGCCACACUGGGACUGAGACACGGCCCAGACUCCUACGGGAGGCAGCAGUGGGGAAUAUUGGACAAUGGGCGAAAGCCUGAUCCAGCCAUGCCGCGUGGGUGAAGAAGGCCUUAGGGUUGUAAACCCCUUUCAGCGGGGACGAUAAUGACGGUACCCGCAGAAGAAGUCCCGGCUAACUCCGUGCCAGCCGCCGCGGUAA
rnacentral:rRNA from 1 species